CCUACGGGAGGCAGCAGUAGGGAAUCUUUCACAAUGGGCGAAAGCCUGAUGGAGCAACGCCGCGUGCAGGAUGAAGGCCUUCGGGUUGUAAACUGCUGUUAUAAGCGAGAAAUAUGAUGGUAACUUAUGAAUAAGGAUCGGCUAACUACGUGGCAGCAGCCGCGGUCAUACGUAGGAGCCGAGCAGUAUCCGGAGUUACUUGGUGUAAAGAGUUGCGUAGGUGGCAUAAUAAGUAGCUAGUGAAAUCUGGUGGCUCAACCAUUCAGACUAUUAGGUAAACUGUUAAGCUUGAGACCGUUAGGGGUAACUGGAAUUUCUAGUGUAGGAGUGAAAUCCGUAGAUAUUAGAAGGAACACCAAUAGCGUAGGCAGGUUACUGGGACGGUUCUGACACUAAGGCACGAAAGCGUAGGGAGCAAACGGGAUUAGAUACCCGAGUAGUC
rnacentral:rRNA from 1 species